GAAGAAGGGAUGCAUAGAAGCUCUAAAGAGACCCUUCUCCCUCCUUUCCCCCCCACCCCCAGAGCUGCUCUCUGGGAAGGAAGGCACCUCUGGAACAUCUCCUGAACUUCAGCUUGACAGAUAUUUCCAAAAUAAUAGUCUCAUUUUCGGAAGACAAGAAUGGGACGGACGAGGAAACAGGACAGGACAGACCCGUGUGGGAGCCAACCCACCCCGCCCAGAAGACAGAUGUGAAACCCUCAAAGCUCAAUUUACAGGAAGACCUCACCCAUCAGCCCAGCUUGGACAUGGGUGGCGGGAGGAAGGCGACCCAUUUAGAGCUGAAUGACUAUGUUCAGAGACGGCGCUAAAUGACACCCUCCACCUCUUUAUGAAGCCA
rnacentral:lncRNA from 1 species